UGCUGAUUUACAUCAGCUGAGAAUCUGGCCCUAAGUGUUUCUGUGGUUUCUGUUGGACAUAGUUGACAUGGGGAUGGUACUGUGUAAGGCAGUGGAUUACAGACAGAAUAAUUACUUUUCAUAAGAGCAAACCAAGCCUGGAGGGAAGGAGCAAGAAAGUGCUCUCUCUUGUUUUCCUCAUAUCAGCUGCUUCCUAUAUCAUGUGGGAACCAGAAGCCCGUUGGCGGUUGUUUCCAGCUCACCCUUCAGCUUCUUCAAAAGACUCAGGACUUGGGAGUGACAGCUCCUCAAUUGGAAAGGAGAAGUUCAUGGUCGAUUCUUCUGGCUUGUAGCCGGAGCUCUGUGCAUGCUGGGUAACGGGGGAUGACUGAAUGAUGAUGCUGAACCGGCUGUGGAGGGGCUUCACCAGUUUGGACCUCUAUUAAGAGCCAGUUAUUGUGUCAAAAAAAAAAGUGAAACUGCAUGCACUUCUCAACAAUAUGUAAAAUUAACAAAUAGGUAAAUUAUGUUCCCAUCUUUGCUUCCACGUGAUAUCCCAAUUUUUUUCCUCCUUAAACCUCAUUACUCAUAUGCCUCUACUAGUUUAAUUUUGUCUUCUUUUCUAACCUUUACAUAGCACAUUGCACAAAAUAGUGAUUUUUUCCAGGCAUGCAACCUUGUUCUGAGUUGUUUCCCAUAUUCAGCAAUGUAUUAUGUAGGGGCCAUAGGAAAAACAUUACCUUUUCAGAGACCAGGAUAAUUUUUUUUUGUAAAUAUUAAUGAACAGCAUAGCUUAUAGUUUUCCCACAAAAGAAUACGAAUACUUGGUAUUCUGUGAAUUGGGAAACUAAUCAUAUGAUAUAUAAGUCAUAUCUAUUCAUUCCUCUGGGGAUAGAAUUCAAAUUAUCUUUCUAUGGAUAUACACAGUGUACAUUUUGUUUUCUACCUCACCCACUGUAUUAUUAGUUUAGGAGAUCCUCCCAGAAUAGUGCUUGAAGAGUUGUUCUGUUAAUCAAAUUUAUUAUGUAUUCCCCAGAAUAAAAAUUACCCAACUACUUAUCAGCGCUUUAUGAAAUGGACUCUAGGUGGCUAAAAUCCUGUUUCAUCAUUUCAUAUUGCAAAUCACUGUUAACGAAAAACAGGAAGAAGAUGCUACAAGAAUUUAUGCAAACUCUUUGUAUGUGUUUAAUAGCCCUUCAGCUUGUCUGUGUGCUAAUUUUAGUAAUACCAUAACUUUAAAAUAAGGUAUUAUAUUCAAUUAUUCUUUUGCUCUGAUGUAUUAGUGAGAAAAAGAAUCCUAGAACAGAGCUCCAUUAAUUUUUAUUUUUUCUAGCUAAUGUAAAUGUUUAGAUGUGUUAUAGUGAAGACAACACUCUUAAAAUAUCCAGAAAGCAGAAAAAAAAAUCAGUAAAUAUACUACCUCCAUGUCACACAUGUACUUCCACUUCUGUGACUCUCUUUACAUGUUAAAUCAGUUUUAUGGGUCAAAUCAAGUCCUGAAAUUCCCAACUAUACUGAAUAUCAAGAAUUUGUCCCAGGAUCUCUGCAGGGAAGCUGUGACCUCUGAGUGUCUGACAACAAUUAGUUAGUUUAUUCUCCCAUCAUUGUAUACAAGGGAAGUAUUAUCCCCAAAUGACAAACUGGCAUGAUAAAGGUGGGGACACAACAAGAUGGCAGUGACUUGCUCAGUAUCACAUAGGAAAUCUGUAUUGAAGUUGCAAACUGAACCCAAUUUCUUGAGGCCCUACUAAUGUGGUACCUUAACCUUCAGACCAUUCUUUCUCUCUGUUGACACAAUUGUAUGUAAUGAAUCUGGAGAUCUGCCUGCUAUUCCCUGCUCUGUCAGUGACUUUGGUGUAAUAAACUUAUUUUUCUGAUUAA